UUAUUUGACCAGAAUACUUCC
rnacentral:piRNA from 1 species